AUUGAACGCUGGCGGCAGGACUAACACCUGCAAGUCGAACGAGUGGCGGACGGGUGAGUCAUGUCUGGGAAACUGACUGAUGGAGGGGUAUAACUACUGGAAACGGUAGCUAAUACCGCAUACCAUCGGAUGUCCCCAGAUGGGAUUAGAUAGUAGGUGGGGGAAAGGCUCACCUAGGCGACGAUCCCUAGAUGGUCUGAGAGGAUGACAAGCCACACUGGAACGGAGACACGGUCCAGACUCCUACGGGAGGCAGCAGUGGGGAAUAGUGCACAAUGGGCGCAAGCCUGAUGCAGCCAUGCCGCGUGGAUGAAGAAGGCCUUCGGGUUGUAAAGUACUUUCAGCGGGGAGGCGUUACCCGCAGAAGAAGCACCGGCUAACUCCGUGCCAGCCGCCGCGGUAAUUC
rnacentral:rRNA from 1 species